AAACUUUACAAUGCUGGCAACAGCGAUAAGGGAACCUCGAGUGCCAGGUUACAAAUCUGGCUGUCGAGAUGCCUAAAAAGCAUUUCAUAGCAAGGGCCGGGCAAGACCGGUGCCAGCCGCCGCGGUAACACCGGCGGCUCGAGUGGUAACCGUUAUUAUUGGGUCUAAAGGGUCUGUAGCCGGCCGGAUAAGUCUCUUGAGAAAUCUGGCAGCUUAGCUGUCAGGCUUUCAGGAGAUACUGUCUGGCUCGAGGCCGGGAGAGGUGAGAGGUACUUCAGGGGUAGGGGUGAAAUCUUGUAAUCCUUGAAGGACCACCGGUGGCGAAGGCGUCUCACCAGAACGGACCUGACGGCAAGGGACGAAAGCUAGGGGCACGAACCGGAUUAGAUACCCGGGUAGUCCUAGCCGUAAACGAUACUCGCUAGGUGUCGGCCACGGUGCGACCGUUGUCGGUGCCGUAGGGAAGCCGUGAAGCGAGCCACCUGGGAAGUACGGCCGCAAGGCUGAAACUUAAAGGAAUUGGCGGGGGAGCACCACAAACAGGUGGAGCCUGCGGUUUAAUUGGAUUCAACGCCGGGAAGGGC
rnacentral:rRNA from 1 species